rnacentral:rRNA from 1 species
CAGAAACUUAAAUGAAGUUGACGGGGGCCCGCACAAGCGGUGGAGCAUGUGGUUAAUUCGAUGAUACGCGAGGAACCUUACCUGGGCUCAAAUGUAUGUUGACGUAUUCUGAAAGGGAUACUUCUUCGGACAAUAUACAAGGUGCUGCAUGGUUGUCGUCAGCUCGUGCCGUGAGGUGUCGGGUUAAGUCCCAUAACGAGCGCAACCCCUACCUUUAGUUGCCAUCAGGUUAAGCUGGGGACUCUAAAGGAACUGCCUACGCAAGUAGUGAGGAAGGCGGGGAUGACGUCAAAUCAGCACGGCCCUUACGUCCAGGGCUACACACGUGCUACAAUGGCCGAUACAGAGGGCAGCUACCUGGUGACAGGAUGCAAAUCUCCAAAGUCGGUCUCAGUUCGGAUCGGAGUCUGCAACCCGACUCCGUGAAGUUGGAUUCGCUAGUAAUCGCGCAUCAGCCAUGGCGCGGUGAAUACGUUCCCGGGCCUU